rnacentral:rRNA from 1 species
CCCCAGCCAUAACACCCUGCAGCCUGAACCAGUUACUGACUGAAGCUAAGCAGGGCUGAGCCUGGUCAGUACCUGGAUGGGAGACCACACGGGAAAACUAGUUUGCUGUUGGGA